rnacentral:misc_RNA from 1 species
GAUGAAGAACGUAGCGAAAUGCGAUACGUAGUGUGAAUUGCAGAAUUCAGUGAAUCAUCGAAUCUUUGAACGCACAUUGCACCUCUCGUUAUUCCGGGAGGUAUGCCUGUUCGAGCGUCAUUUGUACCCUCAAGCUCUGCUUGGUGUUGGGUGUUUGUUCCGCCUCUGUGUGUGAACUCGCCUCAAAACAAUUGGCAGCCGGCGUACUUGUUUCGGAGCGCAGCACAUUUUGCGAUCCAGAUCAACGUACAGCGGCAUCCAAGAAGCCUCAUUUAACGCUCUUGACCUCGGAUCAGGUAGGGAUACCCGCUGAACUUAAACAUAUCAAUAAGCGGAGGA